rnacentral:sRNA from 1 species
UGCUGGUAGCGCGCUGCGCGGCCUCACC